rnacentral:rRNA from 1 species
GACGAACCGUGCGAACGUUGUUCGGAAUCACUGGGCUUAAAGGGCGCGUAGGCGGCAGGUCAAGUCCGGGGUGAAAGCCCCCAGCUCAACUGGGGAAGUGCCUUGGAUACUGACUUGCUCGAGGGAGGUAGGGGUCCGCGGAACUUCUGGUGGAGCGGUGAAAUGCGUUGAUAUCAGAAGGAACGCCGGUGGCGAAAGCGGCGGACUGGAUCUCUUCUGACGCUGAGGCGCGAAAGCCAGGGGAGCAAACGGG